UGCAGUCGAGCGGAUCGAUGGGAGCUUGCUCCCUGAGAUCAGCGGCGGACGGGUGAGUAACACGUGGGUAACCUGCCUGUAAGACUGGGAUAACUCCGGGAAACCGGGGCUAAUACCGGAUAAUUUAGUUCCUCGCAUGAGGAACUGUUGAAAGGUGGCUUUUCCUUCCCCCUUACAAAGGGACCCGCGGCGCAUUACCUAGUUGGGGAGGUACCGGUUCACCAGGGCACCAAUGCGAACCCAACCGGAAAGGGGGACCGGCCCCCCGGGGCCGGAAACCCGGCCCAAACUCCUACGGAAGGCACCAUUAGGGAACCUUCCCCAUGGAACAAAGGUCUGACGAACCACCCCCCCGGGAUUGAAAAAGGUUUUCGAAUCGAAAAAUUCUGUUGUUAGGAAAAAACAAUGGCCGUUCAAAUAGGGCGGCCCCUUGACGGACCCUAACCAAAAGGCCACGGUUAAUUACUGGCCACCACCCGCGGAAUUACUUAGUUGGCAGGCGUUGUCGGGAAUAAUGGGGCGUAAAGGGGGCGCAGUUGGUUCCUAAUUCUGAGGUG
rnacentral:rRNA from 1 species